UACGUAGGGGGCUAGCGUUGUCCGGAAUCAUUGGGCGUAAAGCGCGUGUAGGCGGCUUAGUAAGUCUGCUCUGAAAGUCCGAGGCUCAAUCUCGGGAUGCGGGUGGAUACUGCUGGGCUAGAGUGCGGAAGAGGCGAGUGGAAUUCCUGGUGUAGCGGUGAAAUGCGCAGAUAUCAGGAGGAACACCGGUGGCGAAGGCGGUUCUCUGGGAAUGACCUGACGCUGAGGAGCGAAAGUGUGGGGAGCGAACAGG
rnacentral:rRNA from 1 species